CUACGGGUUGCAGCAGUGGGGAAUAUUGCACAAUGGGCGCAAGCCUGAUGCAGCCAUGCCGCGUGUAUGAAGAAGGCCUUCGGGUUGUAAAGUACUUUCAGCGGGGAGGAAGGGAGUAAAGUUAAUACCUUUACUCAUUGACGUUACCCGCAGAAAAAGCACCGGCUAACUCCGUGCCAGCAGCCGCGGUAAUACGGAGGGUGCAAGCGUUAAUCGGAAUUACUGGGCGUAAAGCGCACGCAGGCGGUUUGUUAAGUCAGAUGUGAAAUCCCCGGGCUCAACCUGGGAACUGCAUCUGAUACUGGCAAGCUUGAGUCUCGUAGAGGGGGGUAGAAUUCCAGGUGUAGCGGUGAAAUGCGUAGAGAUCUGGAGGAAUACCGGUGGCGAAGGCGGCCCCCUGGACGAAGACUGACGCUCAGGUGCGAAAGCGUGGGGAGCAAACAGGAUUAGAUACCCUUGUAGUC
rnacentral:rRNA from 1 species